rnacentral:rRNA from 1 species
AACGUAGGAGGCGAGCGUUAUCCGGAUUUACUGGGCGUAAAGCGCGUGCAGGCGGUUCUGCAAGUUGGGCGUGAAAUCUUUCGGCUUAACCGGGGGGGGUCGUCCAAUACUGCAGGGCUUGAGGGCAGGAGAGGGAAGUAGAAUUCCCGGUGUAGCGGUAAUAUGCGCAGAUAUCGGGAGGAAUACCAGUGGCGAAGGCGGCUUCCUGGCCUGUACCUGACGCUAAGACGCGAAAGCUAGGGGAGCGAACGGG